AUGAAAUCUCACUUUGAUGAUGAUCCUGAAUUUGAAAUGCUUGCAGCAAAUCUUGCAGCAGCCUUUGAGGCAACACAACCUCAACCAAAUUCCAAUGAUGUUACAUCCCAAUAUACUCAAAAAGCACCUGCUCAUAUUGGCCAAACCGCACUUGUUCUAAAUGCUCAAACAAUUGAACCUGUUAUAACUCAGUCCCAAACUAAUUAUAUUUUGUCUGCACCAGUUAUUCGAAUUACUGAACCUGUUGUUGAGGCACCUAGCCCCAAACUGAGGAGAAGUCAUAGAAUAACGAAGUGA